CGACAGUUGUUUGGCUUCGUUGGCUCAAAUGUUGAGCGAGACCCUGACGCUCUUUGCGUGGGCGCUCGACGAGUCCAAGUGCGACAGGCG